AUUGAACGCUGGCGGCAGGCCUAACACAUGCAAGUCGAACGGUAACAGGAAACAGCUUGCUGUUUCGCUGACGAGUGGCGGACGGGUGAGUAACGUCUGGGAAACUGCCUGAUGGAGGGGGAUAACUACUGGAAACGGUAGCUAAUACCGCAUAACGUCGCAAGACCAAAGAGGGGGACCUUCGGGCCUCUUGCCAUCGGAUGUGCCCAGAUGGGAUUAGCUAGUAGGUGGGGUAACGGCUCACCUAGGCGACGAUCCCUAGCUGGUCUGAGAGGAUGACCAGCCACACUGGAACUGAGACACGGUCCAGACUCCUACGGGAGGCAGCAGUGGGGAAUAUUGCACAAUGGGCGCAAGCCUGAUGCAGCCAUGCCGCGUGUAUGAAGAAGGCCUUCGGGUUGUAAAGUACUUUCAGCGGGGAGGAAGGGAGUAAAGUUAAGACCUUUACUCAUUGACGUUACCCGCAGAAGAAGCACCGGCUAACUCCGU
rnacentral:rRNA from 1 species